UAAGAGAAAAUGAGGAAGAGAACAAAUGCACUUGAGACCUAAGGUGAGGAGAUACGGAAUCACCACUGCUGUCUGGGAAUGGUGAUGACAGGGUUGACAUUCAACAAGGAAAAAUUGUAAUUCUAAUUAAGCAUCUGUCUGGCUGCUGAGCUGAAAGAAGACCAUAAGGAAGCAAGAGUGAAAGCAGGUCGGCUACUGCAAUAAUCCACUUGAGAUGAUGGUGGCUCAGACUAGAGUGAUAAUAAUGGGGUGGUAAGAAGAGAGAAUUCUUGAUACACCUUGAAGGGCAGGUCCAGGAACUGGGUCUGGAGCCUUGAAAGCAGAAGAGAAACUAGAGUAAACUAGAGGCAGGCGGAACGAGAAACGUGACCAGGUAACACUAUGAGAUCUAAUGGCGGUGAUGAAGUCCCCAGUGCGUCUCACAGAGGAUAUUCGGAGGUGGAAGAAGGAUCUCUUAAGUUGUAAGUUCCCAGAAGAUGCCAUUUACAUGAGUUAAGUCACUGUCUUUCUUUACCCAACUCUACUCUAGACUUCCAGUUCCAGCUACUGAAACAGUGGCCUUCGUGAGACCUGUGAUCGCUUUCAGCAGCAGACUGUCCAACGUGGGACCACAGACAAUAGCCGAAAGAGAAAAACAGCAAAUCCACUCUCACUGGUCAAAUUAAAAUUGUAAAGUCCUCA